GGCAAUGAGGACUCUUUAAACAUUUUCCUUUGUUUUGAAAAAUUUCAAAGAUUCUAUCAAUUUCAAGUAUUUGUAUGGACUUUUCCAUGUUUUUGGUGGUAUCUUUUAUUUAGUUCAUGUUUUUCUGGCAUUUUUUCGUAUAGAGUCCUAUAGAGAAGCUUAUGGAAAACUGAUAAACAGAAGUAAAUAUCCAGGAGAGGCGGAGGCGCAGGGAGGUUAUGAUUGAGGGGGAUGAAUGUAGACUCAGGCCCAGUGGAUUCUGCUGAUGUGAUUCCCCGGAUGACAAGGGCGGCUUUGUUAGAACUGCAGGCGGCUUCAAGGUGUUAAGACUGUCAGCUGGAAUUUAUGAUACAUAGAAAUGGAAAUUGAAUCUUAUUCAGACAACCCAGCCACAAGACGUGAGGCACCGGGGGGCUAUUUCUCUAUCACUUUUGUUAGUUCGACUGCAGCCAAGGGUUGAGAUCAUUGAUUUCAAGUUGGAACAGAUUGUAAGUGCGCACAGGUCUUUAGAGAAACACAGAAUGGAUCCAUAUUGACAACAUCUCAUGCAAGUUACAUUAUCCAUUUACUUGGCUCUGUGCAGGGAAAGGUCUGUUUUACCCAGAUAUCCCUGAUAUUGACGCCUGGCUGUUAGUGGAGGGGGCUGUAACAACAGAGGAGUAUCGGCUGCUUAUCCAAGGACUGGUAUAGAAUUGUUACCUAUAAUAAGCAGACACGGAACAGUGUUUGCCAUGUAAAAUCUUAUAAUUUGUGUAUUAGGAUGACUCUAGAAGUAAAGGUUUACCUAUGGGAUAUGCCAUAGCCUAGCUCUCCAAACUAUAGAC